GAGGCUGUAGCUCAGUGACAGAGAAUCUGCUUGGCAUGCAGAAGGUUUCGAGUUCAAUCCCCAGCAUCCACA
rnacentral:tRNA from 1 species